rnacentral:rRNA from 1 species
GACGAACGCUGGCGGCAUGCUUAACACAUGCGAGUCGAACGGAAAGGGCCUGCUUUUGUGGGGGGCUCGCGUGGCAAACGUGUGAAUAACCCGUGAGUAACCUGCCCAUGACUUGGGAAUAACUUCAGGAAACUGGGGCUAAUGCCGGAUAGGAGCGCCUGCGGCAUGGGGGGGGUUGGAGAGUUUCGGCGGAUGGGGAGGGGCUCGCGGCUUAUCAGCUUGUUGGUGGGGUGGUGGCUUAGCAGGGAUUUGGCGGGUAGCGGGCCGGCGAGGGUGACCGGCGACAUCGGGACUGAGAUGAGGCCGCGAAUGCUACGGGAGGAAGCAGUGGGGAAUAUUGCUCAAUGGGCGGCGGCCUGAUGCAGCAACGCUGCGGGGUGGAUGACGGCCUCCGGGGUGUAGACCGCUUUCGCCUGUGAAGAAGCGUGAGUGACGGUAAUGGGUAAAGAAGCACCGGCUAACUCUGUG